rnacentral:rRNA from 1 species
UUGAACGCUGGCGGCAGGCCUAACACAUGCAAGUCGAAUGGUAACAGGAAACAGCUUGCUGUUUCGCUGACGAGUGGCGGACGGGUGAGUAAUGUCUGGGAAACUGCCUGAUGGAGGGGGAUAACUACUGGAAACGGUAGCUAAUACCGCAUAACGUCGCAAGACCAAAGAGGGGGACCUUCGGGCCUCUUGCCAUCAGAUGUGCCCAGAUGGGAUUAGCUAGUAGGUGGGGUAACGGCUCACCUAGGCGACGAUCCCUAGCUGGUCUGAGAGGAUGACCAGCCACACUGGAACUGAGACACGGUCCAGACUCCUACGGGAGGCAGCAGUGGGGAAUAUUGCACAAUGGGCGCAAGCCUGAUGCAGCCAUGCCGCGUGUAUGAAGAAGGCCUUCGGGUUGUAAAGUACUUUCAGAGGGGAGGAAGGGAGUAAAGUUAAUACCUUUGCUCAUUGACGUUACCCGCAGAAGAAGCACCGGCUAACUCCGUG